AGUGAACGCUGGCGGUAGGCCUAACACAUGCAAGUCGAACGGCAGCACAGUAAGAGCUUGCUCUUACGGGUGGCGAGUGGCGGACGGGUGAGGAAUACAUCGGAAUCUACUUUUUCGUGGGGGAUAACGUAGGGAAACUUACGCUAAUACCGCAUACGACCUACGGGUGAAAGCAGGAGAGCUUCGGACCUUGCGCGAGUGAAUGAGCCGAUGUCGGAUGAGCUAGUUGGCGGGGUAAAGGCCCACCAAGGCGACGAUCCGUAGCUGGUCUGAGAGGAUGAUCAGCCACACUGGAACUGAGACACGGUCCAGACUCUUACGGGAGGCAGCAGUGGGGAAUAUUGGACAAUGGGCGCAAGCCUGAUCAAGCCAUACCGCGUGGGUGAAGAAGGCCUUCGGGUUGUAAAGCCCUUUUGUUGGGAAAGAAAAGCAGCAGGUUAAUACCCCGCUGUUCUGACGGUACCGAAAGAAUAAGCACCGGCUAACUUCGUG
rnacentral:rRNA from 1 species